rnacentral:rRNA from 1 species
UACAGAGGGUGCAAGCGUUGUUCGGAAUUAUUGGGCGUAAAGGGCGUGCAGGCGGUUUGUUAAGUGCAGGGUGAAAGCUCCCGGCUCAACUGGGAGAGGUCCUUGCAUACUGGCAAACUCGAGGGAGGCAGAGGAAAGUGGAAUUCCCGGUGUAGUGGUGAUAUGCGUAGAUAUCGGGAGGAACACCAGUGGCGAAGGCGGCUUUCUGGUCUGCUCUUGACGCUGAGGCGCGAAAGCUAGGGUAGCAAACGGG